GAUGAACGCUGGCGGCGUGCCUAAUACAUGCAAGUCGAGCGAAUGGAUUAAGAGCUUGCUCUUAUGAAGUUAGCGGCAGACGGGUGAGUAACACGUGGGUAACCUGCCCAUAAGACUGGGAUAACUCCGGGAAACCGGGGCUAAUACCGGAUAACAUUUUGAACCGCAUGGUUCGAAAUUGAAAGGCGGCGUCGGCUGACACUUAUGGAUGGACCCGCGUCGCAUUAGCUAGUUGGUGAGGUAACGGCUCACCAAGGCAACGAUGCGUAGCCGACCUGAGAGGGUGAUCGGCCACACUGGGACUGAGACACGGCCCAGACUCCUACGGGAGGCAGCAGUAGGGAAUCUUCCGCAAUGGACGAAAGUCUGACGGAGCAACGCCGCGUGAGUGAUGAAGGCUUUCGGGUCGUAAAACUCUGUUGUUAGGGAAGAACAAGUGCUAGUUGAAUAAGCUGGCACCUUGACGGUACCUAACCAGAAAGCCACGGCUAACUACGUGCCAGCCGCCGCAGUAA
rnacentral:rRNA from 1 species